rnacentral:tRNA from 1 species
AGUUAAGCGCAAUGGAACAAGCCUAAUGUCUUGAAAACAUUAAGAAAGAAGUUCAAGUCUUCUAUUAACUU